rnacentral:rRNA from 1 species
AUACCGAUGGCGAAGGCAGCCUUCUGGCAUAAUACUGACACUGAGGCUCGAAAGCGUGGGAGCAAACAGGAUUAAUACCCUGGUAGUCCACGCCGUAAACGAUGUCUACUAGUCGUUGAUCCCUCAGGACUUAGUGACGCAGCUAACGCAAUAAGUAGACCGCCUGGGGAGUACGGCCGCAAGGUUAAAACUCAAAGAAUUGACGGGGCCCGCACAAGCGGUGGAGCAUGUGGUUUAAUUCGAUGCAACGCGAAGAACCUUACCUGGUCUUGACAUAUCUAGAAUCCUGCAGAGAUGCGGGAGUUCCUUCGGGAAUUAGAAUACAGGUGCUGCAUGGCGGUCGUCAGCUCGUGUCGUGAGAUGUUGGGUUAAGUCCCGCAACGAGCGCAACCCUCGUCCUUAGUUACCAGCGGGUUAAGCCGGGAACUCUAAGGAUACUGCCAGUGACAAACUGGAGGAAGGCGGGGACGACGUCAAGUCAUCAUGGCCCUUACGACCAGGGCUACACACGUGCUACAAUGGUAGGUACAGAGGGCAGCUACACAGCGAUGUGAUGCGAAUCUCAAAAAGCCUAUCGUAGUCCAGAUUGGAGUCUGCAACUCGACUCCAUGAAGUAGGAAUCGCUAGUAAUCGCGGAUCAGAAUGCCGCGGUGAAUACGUUCCCGGGCCUUGUACACACCGCCCGUCACACCAUGG